rnacentral:lncRNA from 1 species
CAGGGCACAAGCAUAAUUACUUGGUCAAAUUGAAACUCACUGUCUAACUCUUUGAGUAUUUUACACCAAUGUUUCUGGUUUACUUUUCAAAACUGUCCAGAUGUUCUGUGGGCAUUUUGAAUGACAGUGUCAAGCUUUAGUAGGUGCUUCCAAAAUAGAAAGCCUAUCUACACCUUGAAGAGGGCACUCCGUGGUGUUUGAACCCUGGUUUCUUCUGAGUUUUCCAGUUUGUUUAGUGGCUUUGCUUCCCAUCCUGUUAGAUUUUAUUUCCGUGGAUCUCAUUGUUUUGACCUAAUAACAUCUAACACAUUCCCCAUUUUCUACUGCGUUUUUGAAGAAUACCUUAGUUCUCUUCUACCUUUUGAGGUUACUCCGUUUCCUAUCUAUCCUUUCGUUAAAGAUACGCUUUUUCCCUUCUUGCCUCUACCAUAGUAAUUUUUUUCUUAAGGGAAUUUCUCUCUGCAGCUUAAUCAGCUUGUCUUCUCUUGUUUUACUUUCAGUGUAACACUGCUGAUUUCUAACACUAAAACUGAAGUGUAUUUUCCAAGCACCUCUCCUUCCUCUUGGUCUCCUAAGAACACCUGCUUCCCUGAGACAGAGACUUCAGACACAGGCUCAUAGGACUCAGCUUACUUCCCUUUUCUCUGAAGAUGCCAGAAGCUACUUUCUUUCCAGAGACUUUUCUUCCUCCGAGACAGACUGUGAGAUGGGAUUCUUCUCACCUCCUCUCUCGUGCCCAGAGCUGCUGAAAUGACUUGCAGUCCCAGAGCUGCUAGAGUGAAUUAGCAGUUGGCAAGGUGUCCCCUGAACUAAAGAAGUUGUAUAUUGGGCCAGAAGCAGACCUGGAAGAAGCUGAUGACAAAGGCCUGCCAACAGUGCUGAGACUGUAAGUUAAGAUCAUUCGCACUUCCAUCUUUGUAGGCAGCCUGUGAUGUGAGUUUGGAGACUGCCCAGAUGAAAGCCCUGAAUUGGAAUUCAAGAUCUUUGAAAUUAGCCCUGGCUCCAUCAUCACUAGCUGUGUGACCUUGGGCAAGUAAUUUAAUCUCUCAGAAGUCUGAGUUUCCUCAUCUGGAAGAAGAAUUCCAGUUCAACAUUCUGAUUUUUAAGAUGAAAACUGCCAAUCUGCACAUUGUGUGAGUGGCUAACAUCUGAAUAGCAUUUAAUAUUGUACGAAGCUUUUCUUCAGCUGCCUUGCUAUGCAGACAUGAUUACCAUAAUUUUCCCAGUGAAUAAAUAGUCUUGUAGGAUCAGGUGAAUUGCCCAAGGUCUCACAAUUAAUAAAUAGCAGAAGUAGGACUUGGACAUAAACCUACUGUCUCCAAAUUUGGUGUUCUUUUCCCUGGUCUGAAUUAGUGACUAGGUAAUCCAUAGGAUGUGAAAAAGAACACAAAAGUAAAGACAGUGGAUGGCAGAAAGAAAACAGCAGAGGAUUUAAAUCUUUGAGGAUUAACUUUUAAUCCAAGCUCUGCCAUUUACUGAUUUAGAGUCCUAGAAAAGCCAUUUUUUUUUCCUGUUUGGAAAAAAUAGGCAGGGCUGAUAGUCACCUCAGAAACAGUGGUACAGCCAUACUGCUUAUUAAAAUAUUGAAAUCCUUCUGUAUUAUUUGAUGACUAGCCAUUCCAUUUGUCCCCCUCCUUUCAGAUCCCCCCCAUAUUCCCAUGAUUGAGCAACAAAAGAGUUAAAGUGGGACCCAGCGGGGGGCAUUAAGGAUCCACUCCAUUUCAGGGAGGUAUGGUUGGUCCCAAACCAUAUUGGUUGUUAAAUAUUUUUAAUAUCAAGAAUGAUUAGCAAUAAUAAUGAUAACAUUCUUCCCCACUUCAGUGGGCUGCUGUUGAAGAUCAGAUAAUAUAAAACAAUGGAGAUGACAGAUC